rnacentral:lncRNA from 13 species
AUGAACAAUUCAGACACACAAAUGUGGAUAAGGGAAAUCACAGGGCCAUUUCUCUAUGUGUCUUAUGCACAACACACAUCAAUGUGUCUGCCUUCAAUCAUCAAAGGGCAAAAAUUCAGGUCAGACCUCAGUCAUUUGCUGAGCUCAUAUGGAUUAAUGAAGGUCUAGAGUUUGUAUUCAGCAUACAGAGUGAACAAUAGUAGAAAAUGCGGAGAAUGGAAAUUUGAGCUAGAG